UAGUUUGAUUCCUGGCUCAGAUUGAACGCUGGCGGCAGGCCUAACACAUGCAAGUCGACGGUAGCACAGAGGAGCUUGCUCCUUGGGUGACGAGUGGCGGACGGGUGAGUAAUGUCUGGGAAACUGCCCGAUGGAGGGGGAUAACUACUGGAAACGGUAGCUAAUACCGCAUAACGUCGCAAGACCAAAGAGGGGGACCUUCGGGCCUCUUGCCAUCGGAUGUGCCCAGAUGGGAUUAGCUAGUAGGUGGGGUAACGGCUCACCUAGGCGACGAUCCCUAGCUGGUCUGAGAGGAUGACCAGCCACACUGGAACUGAGACACGGUCCAGACUCCUACGGGAGGCAGCAGUGGGGAAUAUUGCACAAUGGGCGCAAGCCUGAUGCAGCCAUGCCGCGUGUAUGAAGAAGGCCUUCGGGUUGUAAAGUACUUUCAGCGAGGAGGAAGGCGUUGUGGUUAAUAACCNCARCGAUUGACGUUACUCGCAGAAGAAGCACCGGCUAACUCCGUGCCAGCAGCCGCGGUAAUACGGAGGGUGCAAGCGUUAAUCGGAAUUACUGGGCGUAAAGCGCACGCAGGCGGUCUGUCAAGUCGGAUGUGAAAUCCCCGGGCUCAACCUGGGAACUGCAUCCGAAACUGGCAGGCUAGAGUCUUGUAGAGGGGGGUAGAAUUCCAGGUGUAGCGGUGAAAUGCGUAGAGAUCUGGAGGAAUACCGGUGGCGAAGGCGGCCCCCUGACAAAGACUGACGCUCAGGUGCGAAAGCGUGGGGAGCAAACAGGAUUAGAUACCUGGG
rnacentral:rRNA from 1 species